CCCCCCAAACAGUGAAUAAACACUGUCUGGGGGGGGGGGGGGGGCACACACCGUGAGCUAUUUGAACGUGCUCCUGUGUGGUUCUCUCAAUUAUAAUCAGCAUUUCACUUUCAAUGAACAAUGCGUCGCUCAAGAAAACACCCGGAUACACAGUCAAGCUUAGUUUUACAGCCUAUCUCUGCAGUCCAUCAUGCUCCACUCCUUUGCUCCGCUUCAUGACAAGAUCUCAGUCCUCCCGCUCUUUGUGCUUUUUUGACUUUUUCUUUCAUUUAUCUUGAAGGCUCAUCUCCAAGUGUAUUUGCAUUGGUCCAAGCUAAAGACCAGGCUCCCCAAAGACCCAUAUCCUAGCCUCUUGGAGAGAGAACACGGCACAAGAUACAAGAAAAGAAAAGCUUACAGCACCUGGUAUUCCCAGGCGGUCUCCCAUCCAAGUACUAACCAGGCCCGACCCUGCUUAGCUUCCGAGAUCGGACGAGAUCGGGCGUGUUCAGGGUGGUAUGGCCGUAAGCAAUGACACAGGCUCCAAAUGAGCUAUUUGAACAUGCUCCUGUGUGGUUCUCUCAAUUAUAAUCAGCAUUUCACUUUCAAUGAACAAUGCGUCGCUCAAGAAAACACCCGGAUACGCAGUCAAGCUUAGUUUUACAGCCUAUCUCUGCAGUCCAUCAUGCUCCACUCCUUUGCUCCGCUUCAUGACAAGAUCUCAGUCCUCCCGCUCUUUGUGCUUUUUUGACUCUUUCUUUCAUUUAUCUUGAAGGCUCAUCUCCAAGUGUAUUUGCAUUGGUCCAAGCUAAAGACCAGGCUCCCCAAAGACCCAUAUCCUAGCCUCUUGGAGAGAGAACACGGCACAAGAUACAAGAAAAGAAAAGCUUACAGCACCUGGUAUUCCCAGGCGGUCUCCCAUCCAAGUACUAACCAGGCCCGACCCUGCUUAGCUUCCGAGAUCGGGCGUGUUCAGGGUGGUAUGGCCGUAAGCGAUGACACAGGCUCCAAAUGAGCUAUUUGAACGUGCUCCUGUGUGGUUCUCUCAGUUAUAAACAGCAUUUCACUUUCAAUGAACAAUGCGUCGCUCAAGAAAACACCCGCAUACGCAGUCAAGCUUAGUUUUACAGCCUAUCUCUGCAGUCCAUCAUGCUCCACUCCUUUGCUCCGCUUCAUGACAAGAUCUCAGUCCUCCCGCUCUUUGUGCUUUUUUGACUUUUUACUUUCAUUUAUCUUGAAGGCUCAUCUCCAAGUGUAUUUGCAUUGGUCCAAGCUAAAGACCAGGCUCCCCAAAGACCCAUAUCCUAGCCUCUUGGAGAGAGAACACGGCACAAGAUACAAGAAAAGAAAAGCUUACAGCACCUGGUAUUCCCAGGCGGUCUCCCAUCCAAGUACUAACCAGGCCCGACCCUGCUUAGCUUCCGAGAUCGGACGAGAUCGGGCGUGUUCAGGGUGGUAUGGCCGUAAGCGAUGACACAGGCUCCAAAUGAGCUAUUUCAACGUGCUCCUGUGUGGUUCUCUCAAUUAUAAUCAGCAUUUCACUUUCAAUGAACAAUGCGUCGCUCAAGAAAACACCCGGAUACGCAGUCAAGCUUAGUUUUACAGCCUAUCUCUGCAGUCCAUCAUGCUCCACUCCUUUGCUCCGCUUCAUGACAAGAUCUCAGUCCUCCCGCUCUUUGUGCUUUUUUGACUUUUUCUUUCAUUUAUCUUGAAGGCUCAUCUCCAAGUGUAUUUGCAUUGGUCCAAGCUAAAGACCAGGCUCCCCAAAGACCCAUAUCCUAGCCUCUUGGAGAGAGAACACGGCACAAGAUACAAGAAAAGAAAAGCUUACAGCACCUGGUAUUCCCAGGCGGUCUCCCAUCCAAGUACUAACCAGGCCCGACCCUGCUUAGCUUCCGAGAUCGGACGAGAUCGGGCGUGUUCAGGGUGGUAUGGCCGUAAGCGAUGACACAGGCUCCAAAUGAGCUAUUUCAACGUGCUCCUGUGUGGUUCUCUCAAUUAUAAUCAGCAUUUCACUUUCAAUGAACAAUGCGUCGCUCAAGAAAACACCCGGAUACGCAGUCAAGCUUAGUUUUACAGCCUAUCUCUGCAGUCCAUCAUGCUCCACUCCUUUGCUCCGCUUCAUGACAAGAUCUCAGUCCUCCCGCUCUUUGUGCUUUUUUGACUCUUUCUUUCAUUUAUCUUGAAGGCUCAUCUCCAAGUGUAUUUGCAUUGGUCCAAGCUAAAGACCAGGCUCCCCAAAGACCCAUAUCCUAGCCUCUGUUCUACGAAGCAAGUUCAACUUAGCGAGGUAGUCUGAGAGCUACCUCGCUCAACUUAGCGCGGUAGCCGGCGGUCUCGCUAAGCGGUUUUACGACGCUGGUUAUCAACCUCAUAAGUAGAUCCGGCUUUGCUAUGAGCGCGUGCACACAUACAAGGCGGAGCUCGCCGCAUCUGACCAAUCGCGAACAUGGAUCAGUCUGGAGCGUCACAGCAGCAGGCUGGAGAGUGAAGGACCGCAGACUUUACAAACGAGGAGCAGGAGACGAUCAUGAGAAAGUAUGAAGAAUUGAAAGCUAUCACAAACCUCAAAAGCAACACCGUCGCCGCUGCAAAAGCACAGAGGGAAUGCUGGCAGAAAAUUAGUCUUUGAUGCCAUUAUCACCCUGAAAUAGCACUGUUCAACAUGCGCUUUUAACUAAGGUGACAGUCCCCGAAUUGGAUGAUCUGUCCCCGGCUAAAGCUGUCUCUGAACAUGUCCGUGAUUUAAGCGUUUCAUGAAUGAGAACAAAAAUGUUGCAUGUGGGCAAGAACAACGGUUGUUACAGUGGGUAGGAAGCAGAAGUAAGCAGUCCUGAACAACAGUAUUUACGGGGUUAUUAUAAGGGGCGUGCGCUGCUACUAAAUAGUACCGAGAUGUUGUCUGUGAUCGCGCAGCCCCUGCAGCUCAUGCCCAUUCAUUCCCAAGAUGAAUCAUUCAUUUGUUCAUUCCUAUCGUGUUUACAUGUUUUGUGUAAUAUGUCGGCCAUAUGAGCCUUUCAUAGAGGUGGUCAUCCGGAGAAAACUCUCCCUGAAAACUCUCGCGAGCCGGAGUGCUCCUCCUCGGACAAUGCGAGCACCGAGGUCUACAGGAUCCUCCAAGAACGGACAAACCGUUUUUCGAGAGAGCUCAUUGGUCAGUGGGCGGGGUUUUUAUACUCAGUGAGUUCAAUCUGGAACCUAACCUGCCCCGGAGCAGGUUAGCCGUUCAGCAUAUAUUGCUAUGGAGACUCUCCUCGCUAAGAAGUGAACCCGCGUCGUAGAACAGGAAACCCCGAACUUACUAUCGAAGUUACCCCGCUAAGCAGUAAUCCUGCUUCGUAGAACAGGCCCCAGGCUCCCCAA